UGGGGGAUAGUUUAAUUGGCAGAACAGCGGACUUUGAAUCCGUGAGUUGUGGUUCAAAUCCACGUCCCCCAA
rnacentral:tRNA from 1 species